UGGGGAAUAUUGCACAAUGGGCGAAAGCCUGAUGCAGCAACGCCGCGUGAGUGAUGAAGGCCUUCGGGUUGUAAAGCUCUGUCUUCUGGGACGAUAAUGACGGUACCAGAGGAGGAAGCCACGGCUAACUACGUGCCAGCAGCCGCGGUAAUACGUAGGUGGCAAGCGUUGUCCGGAUUUACUGGGCGUAAAGGAUGCGUAGGCGGAUACUUAAGUCAGAUGUGAAAAUCCCGGGCUUAACUUGGGAACUGCAUUUGAAACUGGGUAUCUAGAGUGCGGGAGAGGAAAGUGGAAGUCCUAGUGUAGCGGUGAAAUGCGUAGAGAUGAGGAAGAACACCAGUGGCGAAGGCGACUUUCUGGACCGUAACUGACGCUGAGGCAUGAAAGCGUGGGGAGCAAACA
rnacentral:rRNA from 1 species